rnacentral:rRNA from 1 species
GACGAACGCUGGCGGCGUGCCUAAUACAUGCAAGUCGAGCGAAUCUUGAGGUGCUUGCACCUCUUGGUUAGCGGCGGACGGGUGAGUAACACGUGGGCAACCUGCCUGUAAGACUGGGAUAACUUCGGGAAACCGGAGCUAAUACCGGAUAAUCCUUUUCCUCUCAUGAGGGAAAGUUGAAAGUCGGUUUACGCUGACACUUACAGAUGGGCCCGCGGCGCAUUAGCUAGUUGGUGAGGUAACGGCUAACCAAGGCGACGAUGCGUAGCCGACCUGAGAGGGUGAUCGGCCACAGUGGGACUGAGACACGGCCCAGACUCCUACGGGAGGCAGCAGUAGGGAAUCUUCCGCAAUGGACGAAAGUCUGACGGAGCAACGCCGCGUGAGCGAUGAGGGCCUUCGGGUCGUAAAGCUCUGUUGUUAGGGAAGAACAAGUACCGGAGUAACUGCCGGUACCUUGACGGUACCUAACCAGAAAGCCACGGCUAACUACGUGCCAGCCGCCGCAGUAACAC